GCGAUUUGCCAUGGUAAGCUAAGUGUUUGUAAACAAUAGUAUUGUGUAUCCUAACGAUUCAAUGCUUUUCUAGGUAUGCGACAGUGCAUCCAUUGAGAAGUGGUCCGGACCUGUGAAUGGUGUUUGGACUUCAAUCGUCCAUUGAACGUACGGCGUGGGAUAUUUUGACAUCGCCAGUUCGUUCUCUUCGAACUGGUCCCACUAAAUCGGUUUGUAGAGCUCGUACCGGGUUUGGUCGCCGGUGAUGACCGAGCCUACUUCUACAGAUUCCUGGUCACGACGGACCGGUAACCUCAGGUUCUACGGAUAGACCCGAGCAAAAAGUUGCUAUUAUUAUCGUACUUUAACGGUAGUACGCAGAAUCACCGAAUAAAGAUUGGUUUUGGGGUUUCUUGGGAACGGGCACUCUGGAAAGAACUUCACAGGUUGGCCUUCGGAGUUCCGCCACUUAUAUUGGUGGAAAUUCUCCGAAUAUUUUCAAAAACUGGGAGUCAAAUUUCGCGUUUUUUCGACGGUUUCGCGUUUUCGUACAAUUUCGCGGAUAUUCGUGUUUUGUCUAUUAGUUUUGUGACACGGUUCGUGAUUGUGGACUAACGGAUGGACGGUAAGUAUGAUGGUAAGUACUGACAUUUUCAGGUAAGUUUUCGCGUUUCGUUUUUGAUUUGUCGGUAGACUCACGGACGGUCUACCAAACCGAUUCAAUUUACGUGUCUCGCGUCGCGGUUUUGAUCGGAUCGGCAAUCUCGAUUGCCGCGACCAAUCGACUUCGAUUUCGGUCGGGUUCGGAAACGGCGAACCUGGUUGGGUAUGACGCGAUUAUCGAUAAUAUUGGCAUCUCUUACCGGUUUAGGUGACAGUGAUGAGAGCUGGACAGAUCGGUCUUUCCAUCUCGUUGCACGCCGGUCGUGCGAACUUCUCAGUCUUCUACUAGGCAUACCGUUCAUAUCGCGAUCGCGUUCGGAUUUUCUGCACUUCUUCUAAAAAUAGAAAAUUUGUUAUUCUACGGAUGACACACUCGGAUUGAAAAA